rnacentral:miRNA from 1 species
UGAAAGUUUGUUCGGGAUUUU